rnacentral:rRNA from 1 species
AUGCACGCUGCCAGCAUGCUUAACCCAUGCAAGUCGCUGGGGAAGUGGUGCUUGCACCCUGGUAACCAUGGCGGACGGGUGAGUAACGCGUAAGGAACUUGCCUGCGGGACUGGGAUAACAGCAGGAAACUGCUGAUAAUACCGGAUAAGGUCAUUAAGCUGCAUAGCUUAGUGAUGAAAGGAGACGCCUGCGGAGAGCCUUGCGUCCUAUUAGCUAGUUGGAGGGGUAACGGCCCACCAAGGCGAAGAUAGGUAGCCGGCCUGAGAGGGUGGACGGCCACAAGGGGACUGAGAUACGGCCCUUACUCCUACGGGAGGCAGCAGUGGGGAAUAUUGGACAAUGGGGGCAACCCUGAUCCAGCAAUUCUGUGUGCACGAAGACGGUUUUCGGAUUGUAAAGUGCUUUCAGCAGGGAAGAAGGAAGUGACGGUACCUGCAGAAGAAGCGACGGCUAGAUACGUG